CCACUGUUUUUAUCCCACAGUUAAAAUUGCAAAAUGGACAGCUGAUCAUAUAUCAGUAUUCACUACAGAAGUGUCAUUCUUCUAGCUCUUGAAUGGGUAAAAAUACAACAAUGAGUACAGCAAUACAGUAUAUACAGACUCAUUAUCAGCACUAACAAACAUGCCAGUCAACAUCAAGACAAGACGAGUAUGAAGUCCUACAGAGUCUGUUUAGGGGAUGGCACUUAAGGCCGAUUUAUACUUCUGUGUAAAACCUACACCAUAGGAUACGAGUAGCUACAUGCACUUCUUCAAAAAUGUAACUGCGCAUCGUGUCGACACAGAUCACAACAGCUGUGAUUGGUCCGCUUUGUUACCAGAGACCGCCCACCAGCAUGACAAGAAAUAAUCUGAGGUAGCAGCGCAUUUUUUCCAAGAUUAUUUUAUCUAUGCAUCGUAUGUAUCCACUGAUCAGUGAUUGUGUCACAUGGUAUUUGGAGUUAUAUUCUGUUUAUUUCAUGAACAAGCAAAAACUCAACAAAAGACACAUCUGUUUACAACUUAUAAACAGAUGUGUUUACAACUUCUUUCCCGGGUCUUGUUCACUAUAUAUCUGGUAUGUAAAACAAUACUUCUACUUGAGAACUUUCCAAUCUGUAUAAUGUUUUGACCAUAUGUUUGACAGUACGGUGGAGUAAAUAAUCAUAUUUCAUAAGUAAUGAGAAUGAAACACUUUUGUAUUUGUCAGCUGUUCUGGGAUAAAGAAUCAAGAGGGAGACAUCUGUAUAAUAUUCAAAAGCAGGUUGGUGCUGAGAGGGUUAAAUAUGGCAACAGGGGUCUGGGUAUCUCAGCGAGUAUUGACGCUGACUAACACCCCUGGAGUCACGAGUUCAAAUCCAGGGCAUGCUGAGUGACUCCAGACAGGUCUCCUUAGCAACCAAAUUGGCUCGGUUGCUAGGGAGGGUAGAGUCACAUGGGGUAACCUCCUCGUGGUCGCUAUAAUGUGGUUUGUUCUCGGUGGGGCGUGAAGCCUCCACACGCGCUAUGUCUCCAUAGUAAUGCGCUCAACAAGCCACGUGAUAAGAUGUGUGGAUUGACGGUCUCAGACGCGGAGGCAACUGAGAUUCGUCCUCCGCCACCCGGAUUGAGGCAAGUCACUACGCCACCCCGAGGACUUAGAGCACAUUGGGAAUUGGGCAUUCCAUAUUGGGCAGAAAAGGGGAGAAAAAAAAAUAUAUGGCAACAGACGAAAAGACGUUAUUAUACCUUGACUGCAUAUUGGAAAUUCUGUCUUAAAUUAUAAUUUGUACAUAAUUGUAAAGCAAGAGUCUAGUGACUGUGGAAACUGUAGUCGACCAGAGACAGUAGAGCAUGUACUUCUAAACUGUGUUGCAUAUAAAAGAGAAAGAUUUCGACAAUUUGAGGCACUAAGAUCAAUGUGAAUCCACAAUACUUCACUCCAGGUCCUUUUAAGUAAUGGCCCAAAGCAAUCAAGAAUAUAUAAUGAGUUGUUUAAUUAUUAGAAAUAGACUGGACUGGAUUGGAUUUAGGAUAUAUAUAAUUUUUAAUAAUUUAAUUCUAUCUUUUUGCCUCUUUCAAACGAUUUUUUCACUCCUGUAGGUGCCGGAAAUGCAUAUUUUACGUUGGUUUGCCAACCGCCAAUAAAACGCCAGAAGAAGUGUUGAACCAAUCACAGCUAACUUUUCGCAUGACAUAGGUCAAUUUAAAACUGAGAAAUGGCGGCCGGUAGUUUAGGAUGCCUAAACUUGAGAAUGUAGAUUAUUUCAUGGACACAUAUCAAUGGACUUUGGAUGGACUAUCUUCUGGACAAACAGCGAAAUCAACCGUUGUGAUAUAAAAUGUUUAUCACCGCAUCCUACAAACAGAUGGACUCAACGGAGCUCUGAACGGAGCUUACAUAAGAUGAAACUGAUUUCUGCUUGAAGAAGAACAGGACAGUGAAACACUAAAAAACAAACAUUUACAACAAAAGGUGUUUCCCAUCACUAGACGAAGCUGGCGCUUGCUUGAUGAAUUAGUGUGAUGGGGAGGUCUACGUUCCACAAAAGUGUUACCUCAACUCCCUCAAAUAACAAAAGCAUUCAAAAGAAGCGGUUCAGAUGCAACUUCAACACCAUCCAUGAGGCAACUAAGUUCUGUUGUGAGCUGAGUUCCUGCUUAGACCUGAUGCUGUGGUCCAUUCUCAAGAUCACUGCUACAUGAGAUAGCAAAACUGGAAAUAAUGAUGAAGCAAAGGAGGAACCAAUGUGUUGUGGAAGAUCAGUAGUCAAAUAACAUCAGAGAUCACAGCUGUUAAUCGUUUAGAGCAAAGUGUCUUACCAUUGAGGACUUCGCAUUGAUCCAGUCCAGAAACAAGAAUGGUGGUACUUGGGGUCGUUGGGUGGCAUUGACAUAAAGGACACAGUCUGGAGAAUAAUGAAACAGACCAUACAAAAAGAUUUAGCAAAAAUGUUCAACUGGAGAGGUGUGAAUAGGAAGAAGCCUGGAUCUUAAGAGGUGUGUGAUUGGUUGUUAGACAAAAUCCAAAGUGGUGCCAUCUCACAGAGGCACAAAAUCACUUUUUCGGACUUUCAAGAAACAUCUGAAGAUGCAUCUCUUUUGUGAGCACUUGACCCAAUCCCACUAAUGCACAAACUGUCUUGCUUCUACCUAAAAAACAACACGGUCUCUCUGCUUCCUCCCUACUUGUACUUCUCUGAGCAAUUUGAAACUUUGUAUUGCAGCACUUCUCAUGCCUCAUUAGGAUGAAUCACUUUUGCUGUUUUCUUAAUUUGUAAGUCUCUUUUCUCUGCUAGAUGAAUAAAUGUAUAUGUAAACAAGGAGACCGAAGAUAAGCACUCUACAAUAAACAGCAUGUGAGCAUAUAUGGGAAAACUCUAAUAUCAAAACUGUAAUUUUGAAUGAUAGCUUAUGAACUUGUUUCUUUUAUUUUUAGGUUGCUUUUAUUUUUAACAGUUCAGUUUAACAUUUCUUUUUUCCAAACUUUUUUUAUUUAUAAUUUUUACACUCAUUGUUUGUUUCAGUUCUAUUGUCUUUUGCAGCUUAUUUGAUUGUUCAUCAUUUGUAUGUUUAUUGCUUGCUUUUGUAAUAUUAAUGUAUCCAUUUCAUAGUUUACAUUUGCAUAUUUUACAAUUUUCUUUAGAUAUGGUUUUAUUUUUUAAUGUUGAACAAUUUUUACAUUUAUUGCUUGCUUUUGUUAUAUUGUCUU